CCGACCUUAGCUCAGUUGGUAGAGCGGAGGACUGUAGAUGACGCAGAUAAUCCUUAGGUCACUGGUUCGAAUCCGGUAGGUCGGA
rnacentral:tRNA from 1 species